rnacentral:rRNA from 1 species
GUAGGUGGCAAGCGUUGUCCGGAAUCAUUGGGCGUAAAGCGCGCGUAGGCGGCUUGUCAGGUCCGAUGUGAAAUCUUGAGGCUCAACCUUAAGCGUGCAUCGGAAACCGGCUUGCUAGAGUCUGGGAGAGGAGAGUGGAAUUCCUGGUGUAGCGGUGAAAUGCGUAGAUAUCAGGAGGAACACCGGUUGCGAAGGCGGCUCUCUGGAACAGUACUGACGCUGAGGCGCGAAAGCUAGGGGAGCGAACAGGAUUAGAUACCCUGGUAGUCCUAGCCGUAAACGAUGGACACUAGGUGUCGGGAGUGUCGACUCUCUCGGUGCCGAAGCUAACGCAUUAAGUGUCCCGCCUGGGGAGUACGGCCGCAAGGCUAAA